ensembl:lncRNA
AGCCGCGGCCGGCCGCGCCACGUAGCCCUGCUGCCGCCGCGGGGCGUGCCGGGACAGCGAGUUCAGCCGGGUGGACUACAAGUCCCGAGAUGCCCCGGGACGGCGGCGCGGCUGUACCUGAUUGGGGCGCCGCUUCUACCUAGGACCAAAUUGCGGCCCCAGAAACGAAAAAUUCUUUCCGUUGACCCUCGUCGCGGAACGGCGACUGGUGAUGAUUAUCAGUUUUUUAUAGAUGAUGAAACUUGCGAAGUUUGAGUCACGAAGAGAAUUAUGAGCAGGAACAGGAUUCGAACCUAGGAUCCUUGAUUUUCCUCGGCACAGCAUCUGCCAGUCAGAGCUUCUAUUUUUAAAAAUUGAACUUUGAGAAAAACGACACAAACAAUGCAUCAAUUUGUCUUCGAAAAUGACACAAAUACUGAAGGAGAGAAGGAAGAGGAAGAAGAAGAAGAAGUCGCCACAAUAUCCUUUUACCAUUUUUUUGCCCAUCAAACCCCAGCCACUCCUAUAUCUGGGGAUUCCUGAGGGCAGUCUGACCACUGGACCACUGUCAUGCAACAGUGUUACUGUCGGCCCGUGCUGGUCCCUGAAUGUCUGUUAUAGUUCUGCAAUGAGGCCGUGGUACUGGCAAUUGCAGUUCAGGACCAUGGACAGCACCUCUCUCUCUGCCUCCCCAGCCCUGAGCGAUCACCCCUGCUCCCAGCUCCUGGUGAAUGGCCUUGGUAAACAACUACUUCCUAAAUCCAACAGAUGCUUUUCAGCCCUUGUCUUAAUUGACCUUUCUAAAGCGUUUGUCUUUGCUAACACAUGCAUCUGUUAUUUUUGUUUAAAGACCAUUCCCAAAGAAGGAAUAAAAAUGUCCCCCUAGAAUUUAGCGGUGUGCCACACCGUUAAAAUGAAGGGACAAUUCCUGGUAGCUAAAACAUAUUAUUAAAACACUGUAUUGAUAUUGCUUCUUUGCUUUUCAGCGGGCUCUUAGAGGGCAGGAGACAAGUCUUAUUCAUCUUUGUGUCCAACAUGUAUUGUAAGCCAGAGUUUGUAAACCCAGAGUAAAUGCCUGCCACUUGUCAGCUGGAUGACCUUGGACAAGUUAUUACCUAACUUCUCCUUGCCGCUGCUUCCCCAGCUGUUAAACGAGAAUCCCAUUAGAGUCCACCUUAUAGAGUUUCCAAAAUAUUAAUUCAGUUAGUACAUUUAAGAGUGCUUAGAACAGUGCCUGGCAUAGAAGAAUUAAAAGUAUUACUAUUUUCAUCCUCAAUAUUUUAUAUUGCUGAAUAAAACAAUGAGCAUCUAUUAUCACCAGACACUAGAGGGUGUAGGUCUUCAUCCCACCACCUGGCUAGGGCUACUGCUGUAUAUUGACAGUAGUUUGAAUCUACACUGUCCUACUCAGGGCACCAUGAACUUUGGAAUUCCUGAGAUUUGCUUUUCCUGGGUCCCAUCCUGUUAUAUUGACCCCACUCUCCCAUCCCACCCCUUUCAGUUGUGUAUAACCUUUUCUUUUCCAGUUGGAUUCCUGCCACCUUCUGUCACCCUCCAGUCUCACUCAUAAUCUCUUAUGUUCACACUGGAUGAAGGGUCUCACCUGUGCAAGUGAGCCUGGCAGCUCCUGCCCCCCUCAGUGAUUCAGCCCAGUUUACCUCCUCCUCCCUUCCUGUUCCCAUAAUCUUUCUUCCACCAGUCCCUUAACUGGCCUACUGGCUGCUAGGCACUUCCAGGUCCCUCCACCAAAAUGUCCUUGCUCCCCCGUUGCUCAGGGAGAUUUUAACCGUCUUUCAGAGCUUGAAUCAAAUUUAUCCCUUCCAUAAAAGCCAUUGUAUUUCUCCCUCCCUUUCCUGAACUACUACGUCAGCCUCUGAACCCUAGAGAGCUUCUCUGCAGUUCUCAUUCCGUCUCACCUACAUCAGUUCUAUGCUCCUCGAGGUUCAGGUCCAGGUCAUAAACUUCCCACCUGCCCACACUCUCAACACCCAUCUCGGGCAGCCGCUCUGCAAGUUUCAGAGGGCAAGCCCUUUUCUCUCUCUGAGG